AACGAACGCUGGCGGCAUGCCUAACACAUGCGAGUCGAACGAGACCUUCGGGUCUAGUGGCGCACGGGUGCGUAACGCGUGGGAACCUGCACUUAGGUUCGGAAUAACUCCCCGAAAGGGGUGCUAAUACCGGAUAAUGUCUUCGGACCAAAGAUUUAUCGCCUUUGGAUGGGCCCGCGUUGGAUUAGCUAGUUGGUAGGGUAAAAGCCUACCAAGGCGACGAUCCAUAGCUGGUCUGAGAGGAUGAUCAGCCACACUGGGACUGAGACACGGCCCAGACUCCUACGGGAGGCAGCAGUGGGGAAUAUUGGACAAUGGGCGAAAGCCUGAUCCAGCAAUGCCGCGUGAGUGAUGAAGGCCUUAGGGUUGUAAAGCUCUUUUACCCGGGAUGAUAAUGACAGUACCGGGAGAAUAAGCUCCGGCUAACUCCGUG
rnacentral:rRNA from 1 species